GCAGUUCAUGCUAAGUGUAGACGGCAAGGUUGUGAAUGACCAAAUCCCAAACUUUGUUUCUGCCAUCUGUUUGAUGUUUGGAAGCUAUUACUGCUUCAAUAUCCACUAUCCUGUGGUUCUGGGCUCCACACUUGAGUUCCUUCAGAGGUGUUUCUUCCUGAUCAAUCCAGAGAAGGGCACAAAAGUUGAAACCAAGAAAAACAAGAAGCAACUUUCAGUGAACUUGAGUUCCUUCAGAGGUGUUUCUUCCUGAUCAAUCCAGAGAAGGGCACAAAAGUUGAAACCAAGAAAAAUAAGAAGCAACUUUCAGUGAACUUGAG